AGUGAGAAUGCCGGAAUGAGUAGCGAGAAUUAUGUGAGAAUCAUAAUGGCCGAAAGACUAAGGUUUUAGAAGGAAGGUUCGUCCGCUUCUAGUCAGCCGGGAGCUAAGGCGAGGCCGAAAGGCGUAGUCGAUGCACAUACGGUGGAGAUUCCGUAGCCGCCAUUAAUUUAAACAGAGGGACACUUUCAAGGGGCAUGACCCGGGCGUUGGUAGACCCGGGCGUAAGGGACCGAAAAUUAGUAGGGAAGCAUGCUUUAAGGAAGGCGAGAAAAGCUCUGUGUAUAGAAGAUGGCGCCCGUACCGCAAACCGACACAGGUAGUCAGGAAGAGAAUUCUAAGGCCAACGGGAGAAGGGUAGUUAAGGAACUCGGCAAAUUGACCCCGUAACUUCGGAAUAAGGGGUGCUCACGAGAGUGAGCCGCAGUGAAUAGGUCCAGGCGACUGUUUAUCAAAAACACAGCUCUCUGCUAAAUCGAAAGAUGACGUAUAGGGGGUGACACCUGCCCGGUGCUGGAAGGUUAAGAGGAAGGGUGCAAGCUCUGAAUUGAAGCCCCAGUAAACGGCGGCCGUAACUAUAACGGUCCUAAGGUAGCGAAAUUCCUUGUCGGGUAAGUUCCGACCCGCACGAAUGGUGUAACGAUCUGGACACUGUCUCAACUACCCACCCGGCGAAAUUGUAGUACCGGUGAAGAUGCCGGUUACCCGCGGCAAGACGGAAAGACCCCAUGGAGCUUUACUGUAACCUGAUAUUGGGUUUCGGUAUUUUAUGUACAGGAUAGGUGGGAGACUAUGAAACUAAGGCGCCAGCCUUAGCGGAGUCGCCCUUGGGAUACCACUCUUAAAGUACUGAAAUUCUAACCUGCGGCCGUGAAUCCGGUCGGGGGACAUUGUCAGGCGGGCAGUUUGACUGGGGCGGUCGCCUCCAAAAGAGUAACGGAGGCGCUCAAAGGUUCGCUCAGCAUGGUCGGAAACCAUGCCUUAGAGUGUAAACGCAAAAGCGAGCCUAACUGCGAGGCUGACGGGCCGAGCAGUAACGAAAGUUGGAGUUAGUGAUCCGGCGGUAUGUGAAUGGAAAUGCCGUCGCUCAACGGAUAAAAGCUACCCUGGGGAUAACAGGCUGAUCUCCCCCAAGAGUCCACAUCGACGGGGAGGUU
rnacentral:rRNA from 1 species